UACGUAGGAGGCGAGCGUUGUCCGGAGUUACUGGGCGUAAAGGGUGCGUAGGCGGCUGCGCGCGUGGAGGGUGAAAUCUCUCGGCUUACCCGGGAGGGGGCUUUCCAGACGGCGUGGCUUGAGGGACGGAGAGGGGCGUGGAAUUCCGGGUGGAGCGGUGAAAUGCGUAGAGAUCCGGAGGAACACCGACGGCGUAGGCAGCGCCCUGGCCGUUUCCUGACGCUGAAGCACGAAAGCCAGGGGAGCAAACGGG
rnacentral:rRNA from 1 species